rnacentral:rRNA from 1 species
UACGGGGGGGGCAAGCGUUGUUCGGAAUUACUGGGCGUAAAGGGCUCGUAGGCGGCCAACUAAGUCAGCCGUGAAAUCCCUCGGCUUAACCGGGGAACUGCGUCUGAUACUGGAUGGCUUGAAUCCGGGAGAGGGAUGCGGAAUUCCAGGUGUAGCGGUGAAAUGCGCAGAUAUCAGGAGGAACACCGGUGGCGAAGGCGGUUCUCUGGGCAUUACCUGACGCUGAGGAGCGAAAGUGUGGGGAGCGAACAGG